GCCUUCAUGGUGUAGUGGUCAACAUGCUUGACCCCUUAACCGAGAGGUCUGUAGUUCGAUUCCCGGCGAAGGCG
rnacentral:tRNA from 1 species